ensembl:ncRNA F16F9.17 ncRNA
AUCCGGAAAACAGUUUGCGGUAGAAGUGUGCGAUGACCAAACACAAAUUCAUCUCAAAUGAGAAAAGACGCAAUUCAUCAUCGCCCU